AUGUAUAGCAAUAGCUACUUGCAUCAUUGUAAAUAUGAUGCAAGAUCGACUAUGUCGAAUAAAAUUCUAGGUAGAAUUAUGAUAAUGACAUUGUCUGCCUAUGUGUCUUGACCAAAUUACGUGCCAGCAGUCGCGGUAAUACGUAGAAGACUAGUGUUAUUCAUGUUUAAUCGGUUUAAAGGGUACCUAGACGGUAAAUCAAGCCUAAAAGGAAAUAAAUGAAGGGACUAAUUUACUAGAGUUACUUCUGAGGGGGUAUUAAAGUACUGCUGGUGUAGAGAUGAAAUUCUGUCAUACCUCUUUUCAAUAGAAAAAUAAUGGCACAGGUAUAGGCGAAAGCAUCCCCUUAUGUGAUAACUGACGUUGAGGGACGAAGGCUUUGUGUAGCGAACAGGAUUAGAUACCCCAGUAGUCAAAGCAGAAAAUGAUGAAUGUCAUAGAUUAGAUAUAUAAGUUUAUUCUAUAAAUGAAAGUGUAAGCAUUCCACCUCAAGAGUAAUUUGGCAACAUUGGAACUGAAAUCAUUAGACCGUUUCUGAAACCAGUAGUGAAGUAUGUUGUUUAAUUUGAUGAUCCGCAAAAAACCUUACCACAAUUUGAAUAUUUAUAUCUUUUAUUGUUUUUCUUUUUAACUUUCUUCUGAAUUUCUACUUAAAAGAAAACAAUAACAAGAAAAAAGAGACAAUAAGAUAUAUUUACAAGCGUUGCACGGCUGUCUUCAGUUAAUGUCGCGAGACUCUGGUUAGUUCCAUUAAAUUAACGUAAACCCUUACUUUAUUUUUAUAUAGAGUAGUUCCCCGCUAUAU
rnacentral:rRNA from 1 species